UGUUGAUUCAUUUGUCCUUGUAAGCUCUUUCCUUCCCAAUGGUGGUCCAACUUUUUCCGAUGUUUAGACAGCUGGAGUUGCAAAGGAAGCUUUGGAAGGGCAUUGCAUAUAUGACGGGGGGUUUUGCAAACUCCAUAUCUCGUAUUCGCGCCAUACAGAUCUUAGCAUAAAGGUUAACAAUGAUCGGAGCAGAGACUACACAAUCCCCAACACCCUGAUGAUGAAUCCUCAACCUUCAAUUCUAGGGCAGCAACCGGCUUUAGCUAUAAGCAACUUUGCUAGCAUGUGGUUCAUUCUCCUUUUCGUCUCAAUUUUCGCAACCGGGUAUUCUUGAGCUCCGUUGGAGUGGUUUCAGCAUUGAGGAUUCGUGGAGGAAUGAGCAAUUCUGGGUCAUCGGUGGUACAUCUGCUCACCUUUUUGCUGUGUUCCAAGGGCUUCUUAAAGUGCUUGCUGGCAUUGAUACCAACUUCAGUCACUUCGAAAGUAGCCGAUGAGGAAGGAGACUUUGCUGAGCUUUGUGUUCAAAUGACAUCGCUUCUCAUUCCUCCGACCACAGUUUUUAUCGUGAACAUCAUUGGCAUUG